rnacentral:lncRNA from 1 species
UUGUCGAUCUGAUUAUUUAUUAGUAAAAGAAAAAAACUCAAAAAAAAAAUUUUACAUAGAGUAACACAUAUAUGUAAGAGUUUAUAAUAUCUAUCUAAUUUUUGCUUUAUCUGAUAAUUAAGGUUCAGUUUGAUUCGGGAAUAAAGCAAGGAUAACUAAAAUUAUAUCGAGAUAUUUUUGACCGAGAUAUCUUAUCUCUAUCAAAUCUUGCUAUUUUCGAUUAUUCUGAAAUAGCUUGAAAAAAUUAUUCCACCAUUUGGUAGAAUGGUGCUGUUUCGAACUUUAUUAAGGUUAUGAAUUGAGUAUGGAGAUAUGAUAAAUUACAUAUUGUUGUAAAUUAUUUUUGUUAUAAAAAUUAUUAAUUAUACUAUAUUAAUACAUAUUAUUUAUAAUUAAAUAUUAUAAUAAAAUAUUUUUAUUAAGUAUAAGAUUGAGCAAAAUUUGAGAAAAAAUAAAAUAUAGUUAUAAUAAAUUAUUUAUAUUAAAUCAUAUUUUAUAUUAAAUUCAAUCAUUACUUUUUUUCACUAUUCUCUAUCAUUCCUUAAAAUUAAGCAAACACAAUUUUAAUUAUUUCUAAAAAUAUUA